ensembl:rRNA 5S_rRNA 5S ribosomal RNA
GUCUACGGCCAUGCUACCCUGAACAUGCCCUAUCUCGCUUGAUCUCAGAAGCUAAGCAGGGUCGGGCCUGGUUAGUACUUGGAUGGGAGACUUGGAUGGGAGAGGGCUCGACAAAGGAGCGGUGGCCC